rnacentral:rRNA from 1 species
GGUCAAGCGAACAAGUGCAUGUGGUGGAUGCCUUGGCGAUCACAGGCGAUGAAGGACGCGGUAGCCUGCGAAAAGCUACGGGGAGCUGGCAAA